CAAUGUUGGAAACGAAGUUGGAUUUGCUCCUAACAUCCAGGUUAACCAUAGUUCUUGCGGCUUCUCCGGCAUUGCACCACCGCCUCCAAACAGACCCCAGUUAUGGAUCUUGUGAUUACCCAUCUUCCACAAGGAACAGAAACAUUUGGUCAAGUUUCUUGCUCUGCAUCUGCGAUUACGUCAGCAAUGUUUAAGUUAUCCUUUCUCAGUGCAGGGAAUAAAAAAAAAAACAAAAAGUCCAAACAAUUCAGUCGAAGAAUACUCGCAGAGAGAGAGACCUAAUGGAGGAAGGGCUCAACGGAAAGGAGUACUUGCUCAAGGUGGUGCUGAUAGGCGACUGAGAUCUGGGACACCGCCAGCCAAGAACGCUUCAGGGCCGUCACCUCUGCUCACUCUCUCUCAAAGCCCUAAUCUUUAACCAUCGGCCGUCACCUCUGCUCACUCUCUCUCAAAGCCCUAAUCUUUAACCCUAAAAAAUCCCCAAAUCUCUUCAUCUCCUUUCCCCCGCACGUACAACGAUGGCUCUAAUGAGACCCUAAUCCGGAAACCAACCCCC
rnacentral:lncRNA from 1 species